UCUAGCAAACUUUCUCUUCUCCUAUGGGGUUCAGGAAUAGAAACGAUCAAUGUUCUCCAUUUCUCAGUCUCCCCACUCCAGGAAUCAGUACAGGAAAUCACACAGCUCCAUUUUUGCUACAAAUGAUGAGGGCAUCACAUUUUUGCAGCGCUGUACUGAGGAAGAAAAUGAGGCACGCCUGAUGUCUUAAGACAACGUUAAGUCUAGGAUCUUGCUGUGUAUCAACCUCUAGGACUUUCA